ACCCUCAAACCUAAAGAAUCUGGCAGUCUUUGACCAAAUAAGAGGAACUUGCUCAAUAAAUGAUGAUCCUCAAAAAACCUUGCUUGGUUUACCUACUGUAUACCACCAUCUUAAAAAAGUUUCCAUAGCUUUUUUCUAAUAAGUAAAACUAACAUGUUAGGUCUAGGUGCAGCCAAUUACCAAGUUAAAGUGAGUUACAAUCUCGUCAGAGAGUAGUUUGUAUAAUAAACCUAUAAAAUUCUAAGAGGAUUUUAAUGUAAUAAAAGUUCAAUAUGCCUUUAUGACUCCCCCCUUCAUAKAUGUACAUAUCGCCCGUCGCUCGCGGGAA
rnacentral:rRNA from 1 species